ensembl:lncRNA
GUCAGGGCUGGUCAGGGAAGCCACAAUUCCUUUGGAGAUGAUUACGCAGGGGAAUCAUAAGAAGCGAAUUAGUCUGUUCCUUAUCGAUUCACCUGCGUUUCCGGUGGUGCUGGGGGUUCCCUGGCUGGCUAUUCACAAUCCUACGAUUUCGUGGAAACAGGGAACUCUCCAGGGGUGGUCUGAGUGUUCAGGCAGGCCAGUGGUAGCUGGUCCCAUGCAGGAAGGUGAGGUUCUGGAGGUCCCUCCGUCCCCUCUGGACAUCGAGGGGUGCCCGGCGUACACGAUACAAGCUAUUCUGGACUCGAGACGCCGGGUGAGGGGCUUGCAGUACCUCGUUGACUGGGAGGGGUACGGUCCGGAGGAGAGGUGCUGGGUCCCGGUGGGGGAUAUUCUGGAUCCAUCUAUGUUGAGAGUUCCAUCGCCUCCAUCCGGAUCGCCCGGCGCCUCGCCCUCGUCGGGGGUGUACUGUCACGAAUAUUACCGAUGUCUAAUUGGUUUCACAUGUUUCUUGUUUGGUUAUUAGGGUGGGGUUAUAAAUUCGUUCAGCCCGCUUCUGUUUUUGCGGGCUUGUUCGUAUGUAUGUGUUCGAGUGGUUUUGUUUGCUUUUCGGGUUUCUCGCUGUCCUUUUAUUUUUUCACAUUUGUUCCUGUGAUUUAUUUCUGGACAUUAAAGCGUGUUUCCCGCA